ACACUGCAGAUGAGACCGAACCAGGUCGAAACAGCUGUCCAGUGC
rnacentral:hammerhead_ribozyme from 1 species